AUAGUAGGUGCUCAAUAUGUGCUUGUUGAGUAAAUGUGUCAAUGUUUGAUGUACAUACCUUUUAUUAUGUUUGAUUUGCUGCCAGUGCUGCCUCCAAAUACAGGAGUGCUUCAUGAGAUGUCCACAAAAGGUCUUAAAAUAUUCCACAAAAAUCUUAAAUAUUUCAUGAGUUUUCUUUCCUGUAUUUUUAUAGCAGCACCUGGAAUUUAGCCUGCAUAGGACUCUCUGUAAGUUGACCCUGUUUAUCUAUUCAGCUUUACUUCUCCCCUCUCUCCACCUUGUAUUUUAUUCUCUACUACUUCCAACUGAUUGUAAUUUGACCAGACUCCAGACUAUCUUAUGCCUCUUUGCUUUUGUUUACCUGUUACUUCUCUCUGGAAUUCCCUGCCCCUUCUUAAAUUUUCUGGCCAAUUCUCACUCUCUAGGACUCAGAGGUUUCUCCUCAGGAGACUUCCAUGAGUCUCCUGUUGAGUUAGGUGACCCCAAUCCUCUGUUCUUCAUAGUCAUUCAUGCAUUUAUCUAGCUCAGCAUUUGCCAUACUACAUUGACAUUAUUUCCUUAUGUGCCCAUCUCUCCCCGUAGAUUGCAAACUCCUAGAGAAGGGCUCAACAGUGAGUGUUGAGGCUGCACAGAGGAGGAAGGUAGCACAAUGAUGGAAGGCUUCCUAAAGAGAUAACACUAACAAAGUUGACCUUAGAAUUGGAGUGCCCGGGUUAGAACCUUGCUGGUACCACCUGCUUACUGCAUGCUUCUGAUGUGAGUUCAGGAGAAGCCACUGGCAAGGACAGCAAAGAACAGGAGAACACUCUAGCUUCCCUGAUAGCAUUCAAGGUGCUGUCCAAAAGUUUCACUCUUGUCACCCAGGCUGGAGUGGAAUGGCACAAUCAUGGCUCACUGCAACCUCUGCCUUUCCGGUUCAAGCAAUUCUCCUGCCUCAGCCUCCCCAGUAGCUGGGACUACAGGCAUGCACCACCAUGCCCGGCUAAUUUUGUAUUUUUAGGAGAGACGGGGUUUCACCUUGUUGGUCAGGAUGGUCUCGAACUCCUGACCUCAGUUGAUCCACCCUCCUCAGC
rnacentral:sRNA from 1 species